rnacentral:rRNA from 1 species
CUAAAAACCUAGCCUCCCAUUUUAAUAUAUCCUUUAAAAAUAAAAUAAAAUAUUUUAUAUUUAUAGUAAAGAAGAUUGAAAAAAUUUAUAAGAGCUAUAAAAUAAACCGUAAGGGAAAGAUGAAAUAAAAAUGAAAUAUUUAUUAAGCACAAAAAAAUAAAGAUUAAUCCUUGUACCUUUUGCAUCAUGGUUUAGCCAGUCUAAUUAGGCAAAAUGAUAUUGAAGUCUAACUCCCCGAAACUAAGUGAGCUAAUUUAAGGCUGCUUAACGAGCUAACCCGUCUAUGUAGAAAAAUAGUGGGAUGACCUUAAAAUAGAGGCAAAAAACCUAUCGAACUUAGUUAUAGCUGGUUUCUCAAGAAAAGAAUUUUAGUUCAACCUAAAGUAAAUAAUAUACAUUAAAAUUAUUUUAUACUUUAGAGCAAUUCAAAUAAGGUACAGCCUAUUUGAUGAGGGAUACAACCCCUACUAACGGGUACAAUACUUAAAUUAUACCUUAAGUAGGCCUAAAAGCAGCCAUCUUUUAAAAAGCGUCAAAGCUUAGCAAUAUAAACACCAAUUUCUAAAUUUAAAUUCACCCCUUUUUUACUACUGAGAACUUCUAUAACAUUAUAGAAAUUUUUAUGCUAAAACUAGUAACAAGAGGUAACCCCCUCUCUAAGAUGUAAACAUAAACCAGGAUGAAUAAAUCACUGGUAAUUAACAAAUUUAAUUAAAAGUAAUAACUCACCUAGAAAACAUUACUUAACUUAUUGUUAACCUAACACAAGAACAUCCCAAGAAAGAUUAAAAGAAAAAGAAGGAACUCGGCAAAUAUUAACCCCGCCUGUUUACCAAAAACAUCACCUCUUGCUUCUAUAAGAGGCCAUGCCUGCCCAGUGACUCAUGUUUAACGGCCGCGGUAUCCUAACCGUGCAAAGGUAGCGUAAUCACUUGUCUUUUAAAUAAAGACUUGUAUGAAAGGCUUCACGAAGGUUGUACUGUCUCCUUUUUCUAAUCAGUAAACCUAAUCUCCCUGUGAAGAAGCGGGGAUAAUUAUAUAAGACGAGAAGACCCUAUGGAGCUUAAAACACAAUAACACUUAAUUAACCCCUUACUACUACGGUACCUACCAAUAUCUUAUGCUGAUUAUAUGUUUUCGGUUGGGGUGACCGCGGAGAACAAUUUAUCCUCCAUGAUGAAAGAGUAUAAACCUCUAAACAACAAGCCACAACUUUAAGUAUCAAAAAUUUGACAUAAAUGAUCCAAUACUUUGAUCAACGAACCAAGUUACCCUAGGGAUAACAGCGCAAUCCACUUUAAGAGUCCUUAUUAACAAGUGGGCUUACGACCUCGAUGUUGGAUCAGGGUAUCCUAGUGGUGCAGCCGCUACUAAAGGUUCGUUUGUUCAACGAUUAAAACCCUACGUGAUCUGAGUUCAGACCGGAGUAAUCCAGGUCAGUUUCUAUCUAUAACGGAGCUUUUUUCAGUACGAAAGGACCUAGACAGCAUGGCCUAUACUCUUACAUGCCAUAAUUAAAUACUUUUGAUUAAACUAAAAAAAAUAUUAAUCCAUAACUAAUU